rnacentral:tRNA from 1 species
GGCCGUAGCUCAGCUGGAUAGAGUGUCAGACUCCGACUCUGAAGGUCGUGGGUUCGAAUCCCGUCGGCC